rnacentral:piRNA from 1 species
UAAUUUUAGGACAAGUCUGAUAACUCAGU